GCUGCACAGGUCAUGCCCGGCAUGACGCUGGAAGUGAGCGUGCCGGGUGGCAGCUUCACCGCUACCGUCACCGGUUCGGCCGCCGAUGUACGGCA
rnacentral:tRNA from 1 species